AGAACAGCAAAGAUUGCUGCCUAUUCCUUCCUCUGGAAGCUUUGUCCUAGAGAGGUACUCACCAGAUGCCAGCCAGAACUCUCCUGUUUGAGGUGUCUAUCGGCCGCCACUGGGAAGUAUCUCCUGGUCAGGAUACACAGGGGUCAGGGACCCACUUGAGGAUGCAGUCUGUCCCUUACCAGGUGCUCCCUUCAAAGCUGUCCAGCAGGACGUUUAGGUCUGCUGAAACUAUUCCCUCAACCACCCCUUCCCCCAGGUGCUCUGUCCCAAGGAGAUGGGGGUUUUAUCUAUAAGUCCUUGACUGGGCCGCUGCCAUUUUUCCAGAGAUGCCUUCCUCAGAAAAGAGCCGCAUUCUGGCUGCAGUGGCCUUGCUUAGCUGUGGUAGGCUCCACCCAGUCUGAACUUCCCGGCUUUGUUUAUACCAUGAGGGUAAAACAGCCUACUCAAACCUCAGUAAUGGUGGAUGUCCCUCCCCCUGCCAAGCUCAAGUGUCCCAGAUGGAGGUCAGGCUGCUGUGCUGGCAGCGAAAAUUUCAAGCCAGUGGAUCUUAGCUCUCUGGACUCCAUGGGGGUGGGACCUGCUGAGCCAGACCACUUGGCUCCCUGGCUUCAGCCCCCUUUCCAAGGAAGUGAAUGGCUCUGACUUGCUUGGCAUUCCAGGCACCCCUGGGGUCUGGACAAAAAGCUGCUGCGGCUAGCUCGGUGUCUGCCCAAAAGUCGCCCAGUUUUGUGCUUGAAACCCAGGACUGUGGUGGUGUAGGAACUAGAGGGAGUCUCCUGGUUUUGCAGGCUGUGAAGACCAUUGGAAAAGUUCAGUAUCUGGGCCGGAGCGCAUAGUACAGUCCCUAAUGGCUUCCCUUGGCUAGGAAAGGUAGUUCCCCGACCCUUGUACUUCCCAGGUGAGGUGAUGCUCCACCCUUCUUCAGCUCACUGUCUGUCAGCUACACCCACUGUCCAACCAGUCCCGGUGAGAUGAACCAGGUACCUUAGUUAGAAAUGAGAAAUCACCUGCCUGAGUUGAUCUUGCUGGGAGCUGCAGACCAGAGCUGUUCCUAUUUGGCCAUUUUCAUUUUUAGUUUUUUGAGGAACCUCCAUACUGGCUGUAUCUCCAUAGUGGCUGUGCUAAUUUACAUUCCUACCAAUAGUGCAUGAGGAAUCUCCACAUCCUUGCCAGCAUGUGUUAUUGUUUGUCUGGGUCUCUUAAGGUGAUGUGCUUGGCAGCUCUUGAAACCAUCUUUCCUAUUAAUGACUCCUCUUGAUCCCCAACUCCUGUGUAGGACACUUAUAUAACAAAAUAUAUCAUUUACCUGGUCAUAACAGGCCCACAUUGUAACUGCUCAGGACCACAUUAUAUCUGCCAUUGAGGUUCUGUUAAUACACCUAGGGCUGAGAGUGUGAUUAUUACAGAACAAGGGAAUCUGCAGCUCAUAAAUGCCUUUUUGCUCUGUUUACUGGAGUCAUUAAAAGAAACAUAGCUGUUAUGAUGUGGGAACUUGUUAUGAGUGUUAAAUGAGAUUAUACUAUAAAACACCUACUUAUUUUGUCAAGAAGUAGAGAUGAAGUGUCCCAGAAACUACGUUAGAUGCUUGGGAUGCUAGUUAGAUAAAUGCCUGUUUUCACUGUUCUUCAGAAUAUUCAUUCAACCAACAAAAAUUUAUUGAUCACCUGCCACAGCAAGGUGAUAUCUAGGUGUUGGGAGAGAGUAUAGAAAUAAGUAAGACACAGCAUAGGGCCUCCACGAAGCUCACAGUCAGUCAGGGUUAAUAUAAUGUUUACAUGAACAAUUACAAAAAAAAGCCCAGGAAGGUUAAUGUAGCAAGUGUUGUUAAGAAGUCAUAUGUGAUUUCAGGGGAGGGAGAGAUUUUUUCCAGCUUGUUGACUGGGAAGACUUCAAGAAAGGGUUAGAAAUAAAGGUAAUAGAACAAAAAAUAUAUAAGUGUAUUUGGGAAGGUUGAGCUGCUCCAUUUGGCUGGAAUGGGGUUUAUGAGGUUAGCCUCUGUAUACUGUCUUGAAAAUAAUGUUCACUGACUCAUAAAUUUUCUAAACUACAUAAUGAUGAUAACAUGAUAAUACUAGUGGGAUUAUGUUAUCAUAAAAACCUCUUACAUUUAAAAUGUUCUUAUUAAGACCCCAUCUGUAUUUGCUAAUUAAGUAAAACUGUAUUAGGAUUAAAACUGCAGGGAAGAGGCAAAAUGCUUUGUUUCUUGCUUGGAUUUUAUAUUUUACAUUUAAGAAAGAUUGAAUACCAAAAACAUCUCUUUCUGGUAAUUCUAUAACAAAGUUUUUAGUCCAUGCAUUAGAAGUCUUUUGGUAUUGAAUUGUAAGAUUUCUUAAUUUGGUAUUUAUAAAAAAAUUUGUAGCUGACUUUUAGCAGAAAUAAUAUUUUUUAAAGAUGUACCCGAUGUCACUAAUCAAAUGGUCUUUGCCAAUCAGCACAUCUGCCACCAGAUUUCAAAGCUAUAUAUCCAUUUGGACACAGGGUUUUUAGCCCAAUCUUGCAAAAUAUUUGCUAUUAUAUUAUAAUUGAAAAUAAAACAGUCUAAAUUAGUGAAGAAAUACAGAAUAUGAACAAUUACAACUUAUGAAAACUAUGCACAAUAUGUGUUCUGUCACAUCAAAACCCAUUUACUGGAUCAUAAAAUCCAUUUGAUAGGCCUUGUUAGUGUAUUUUUUAUAGGGAGGAUGGAAUGGAAUUGAGAAUAGAGUACAUUGCGUAUUGUGAGGAAAAGUAUUGUUUUAUGAAAUUUUAGUUUCAUCUGUGUGUGUUUAUAUGCCUGUGUUUCUAGGUGUGAAUACAUUGGCUUGCUGUGUAAACUGUAUUUCUUAUUGUGGAUUAUCAGUGGUUUGAAAACAUUAUUUUAGAGAAAUGCCAAUUUAUGUGUAGUAAGUGGAAUUAAACCUGCAGCUGUUGGCCUGGAAGGCUCAUCAUCCAAGUUCCAGUAUUAGUGACGAGAGAAAACUUAUAUGCACUUAGCAUAUUAUUUACGUACAUAAAUGUUUCUGAAGUCCUCAGUUCUCAGCAAAAACUUGUUCCUGUACAAGACAUUGCUGGGAAACCUAAACAAGGAGAAAAGGAAGAAUAGAAGGAUCUACUCACAUAUUCAAAGCCUUCUACCUGUUUUCCUGAAUAAUGUUCUUCCACCUGGUUAAGGGUGUUUAUUUAUAACCACUUUACACAGGGGUGAAAUGCGCAAGACCCCUCACUUAAUGAAGGUCUUAACUAGCAUCAGCUCAUUGCUUCUGUACAUUGGAGCCUCAUUCCUCACAAGCUAUUGGUUUGAGUGGGAUGUUCCUGACUUAGGGCCAAAGCAGGAAUGGGGCAUGGCAGCCAGGGAGAGAGUAAAUUCCAAAACCGUGGAAAGGAUUGAGAACUUGGCAACAGUGGAGAGUGAAGACCUCACAGCCCUCCCAAAUACUGAGGCUGAGAACAUGGGGCAGGGGGAUAGGUCUAGAGCCCAAGCUUGAAGCCAGGAGUGUUGGAUACACUUAACCACUGGAAAUUUGUCAGAAGCCAGGGUCCCAGCCAGAAAUAUGGCCUCCCCUCAGAAGUACUACUUUCCUGUCCUACCCUGAGGAGUCACUCUAUCCCUGUGUUCAACUUCUUUAUACUGGUAGAAUCUGACUUAUAAUAACAGGACCAGUCUGAUACAACAUCUGGACUGGCUCCAGUACCUGGAUCAUACCUCACUGUGCCAAAAUCCACGUAUUAAACACUUGUCAUUUAUAUUUAUUUUGUAAUUUAUUAAACGUUUGUCACAUGCAUACUGUGCUACCUAUUUUCAUAUUCUUUCUGAUAAGAACAGUUGACAUUUUAUCUCAGGAAGUAGGGAGAGCUGGAAAAUUCACCAAAGAAAAGUUAAAUAAUUUUUCCUAUUAGCCAUUGCUUUCAAAGAUGCCCCAACUUUAGAAUUACAGAUUUUACCACUUAGCCUACUAAGCUAGGCUGUUGUUUGAAACUGACCUACUUCUGUCAUCCUCCACAGUUGUCUUAAUGGGAGGCAAUUUGUGCCCCACAUUUACUGUAGUGCUUGCAGAAGGCAUCAAGCUCUACAAAGCUUUAUGCUUGUCCUUAAAAGUUAAUUGGGAGCAUCAGGGGAGGAGUGAGUGCUGGAAACAGCUAUUUCCGUUUCCCAGAACGGUAGUGAAUCCUCUUAUCUUUCCAGGGUAAUUUAAGGAGAGCCUCAGUCAUAUAUAAUACUUGCAUUGCCUAGAUUUUAGGUUUUCAGUACUUUGAAAUGACAGCUUUUCAAAAAAGAUACUACCUAAAGUGAAAUGAGAUAUAGAUUUAAAGAAAAGGUGAAUAUUGAAGUAAUCCAUUUAAGAUAAUAGCUGGAAAUAUUUAUUCUGUUAGUAUGUCUUUCACUGGAUUUUAUUUUAUCUGAAAAUGUUAGAUUAGAGGAGACUCUGGAUUUGAAAAUUGGAGCCCAGGGUGGUAAAAGGACUUCCCAAGAAGCGGCCUUCUCCUGACUGCUCUUCUCUAUACCACAGUGUCCUGCUAAAUCUAAACAUGAGGAAUGUUCACAUGGAUGAUGUCACCAAUUGACACCAUCCAACAUGGCUUAAUAGAAAAACUGUGGACUUUGUAGCCAGGGAAAUUCAAACUUAAGUCUUUAUCCUACAAGAUUUCAUGAACUAAUUGAGGUAGCAUGUGAAGCACCUAGUACAGAGCAGAUGUUCAAGAAAUUAGGUCCCACAUGGGAAUUACAACUUGAAGACACAUUCUAAAAGUCAGGAAAGUUUGUCUCUAAUUCCUUCUUGCCUUCUCUUCCUGUUGUCUAGCGGGUACUAUGGGUGGGUGCAUGGAGCCUUCAGGUUGCUCGCAGAAUACCUAAGGUUUUCCCAAUACAGUGUGUGUCAAACUUCAUUCCAUGCGUCAUACCAUUCUAUACCUGUUUUUUAUCUAAAUUAAGGACCAUUCCUGCUGGCUUUGCUAAUAAUCUUAUUACCAUUUUCAUGAACGUCAGUUUAUAACUAAAGCUAGAUUAAUAUAUUGUCUUAGAAUAUCAAGUCUCCAGUUAAAGAGAUUUGAUCUCAUUUAGAGCAGUGUUGCCAUUCUUACUUUUUACUGAUCUCCUCUGCCUUUUUCAAUAUGAAAAGUCUUCUCCAUAACAGAGUAUUCAGGUUCAAAGUAAGAGUUAAAAGUUUCUGGUUUUCUAUGUGACAUUUAUCAACUCUGCACCAUCGAUCAUUUCCAGCAAUGAGCUUGUCUGCUGCUUGAUUGUCUUGCCUUUUGAUGUUUCUGUUACAUUUAAAAUAUAUAAUAAAUGUAUUAUUAAUUUCUUAGAAUAUAUUUAUUUUUAUUUAUUUUAAUAAGUAAGGUAAUACAUGUUCAUUACUAAAAGUUCCACAUAUAUAGAAUGCUAUGGAAGAGAGUGAAAACUCUCUUGUGUUUCUGCUCUACCUCCCCCAUUUUCAAAUUUGGGUAACUACCACCAGCGGUUUCAUAUGUAUCUUCCCAGAACUUUAUUUUG